AAGUCGUAACAAGGUAACCGUAGGUGAACCUGCGGUUGGAUCAUUCCAUAAUAUCUUGAUGGACGCGGGGGGAAUUACAACAUUCUCCUACACGUCUUGACCCUUUGUGAAUAUGUAAUUGCAUUGAGAGUGUGUGCAUAUACACACACUCGAGACCUUUAUUCUUUUGUUACAAACCUUGAACAAUUUCAAAUUGACCACAAUCAAUUUUGAACAACUUUUGACAAUGGAUCUCUUGGUUCUCA
rnacentral:misc_RNA from 1 species